AUUGAACGCUGGCGGCAGGCCUAACACAUGCAAGUCGAGCGAGCGGCGGACGGGUGAGUAAUGUAUGGGGACUGCCCGAUCGAGGGGGAUAACUACUGGAAACGGUAGCUAAUACCGCAUACUAUCGGAUAACCCAUAUGGGAUUAGCUAGUAGGUGAGGUAAUGGGUCACCUAGGCGACGAUCCCUAGCUGGGCUGAGCGGAUGAGCAGCCACACUGGGACUGAGACACGGCCCAUACUCCUACGGAGGCAGCAGUGGGGACUAUUGCAAAAUGGGCGCAAGCCUGAUGCGGCCAUGCCGCGUGUAUGAAGAAGGCCCUAGGGUUGUAAAGUACUUUCAGUCGGGAGGCGUUACCGGCAGAAGAAGCACCGGCUAACUCCGUGCCAGCCGCCGCGGUAAUUC
rnacentral:rRNA from 1 species